rnacentral:lncRNA from 1 species
UCUUGCUAGACUGGUGGAGGAGUCUUCCAUCAAAUGGCCAAAUUAAUGAGUGGAAAGAGAGGACUACCAAAGCUAGCAAAAAGUUGGAAUAUCUGGAGUACAGUCUUCUGGAAUUGGAAGGAAAAGUGAGGAAAAGAGUCACCGACUGCCAGAACGCUGAGGGAAACGAAGGAGAACACUUGGCAAAGGAAUUUUUACUGGUGAACCUGCGAAUUGGAGGAUUUAGUCAACGAGAGCAUUCAACCAGAGGAAGGUCCUUCUGGGACCAAGUAGAUAGGAGUCUUUUCUUUUUUCUUUAAAAAAUGUAAUAAGGCCAAUGGCCACUAGUGACAUUUUGUUUCUUGUUGUUUAGUGUCGUUUUGGGAUUCAC